rnacentral:rRNA from 1 species
AUGAACGCUGGCGGCGUGCCUAAUACCUGCAAGUCGAGCGAACGGACGAGAAGCUUGCUUCUCUGAUGUUAGCGGCGGACGGGUGAGUAACACGUGGAUAACCUACCUAUAAGACUGGGAUAACUUCGGGAAACCGGAGCUAAUACCGGAUGAUAUUUUGAAACGCAUGGUUCAAAAGUGAAAGACGGUCUUGCUGUCACUUAUAGAUGGAUCCGCGCUGCAUUAGCUAGUUGGUAAGGUAACGGCUUACCAAGGCAACGAUGCAUAGCCGACCUGAGAGGGUGAUCGGCCACACUGGAACUGAGACACGGUCCAGACUCCUACGGGAGGCAGCAGUAGGGAAUCUUCCGCAAUGGGCGAAAGCCUGACGGAGCAACGCCGCGUGAGUGAUGAAGGUCUUCGGAUCGUAAAACUCUGUUAUUAGGGAAGAACAUAUGUGUAAGUAACUGUGCACAUCUUGACGGUACCUAAUCAGAAAGCCACGGCUAACUACGUG